rnacentral:rRNA from 1 species
UGGGGAAUAUUGCACAAUGGGCGCAAGCCUGAUGCAGCCAUGCCGCGUGUGUGAAGAAGGCCUUCGGGUUGUAAAGCACUUUCAGCGGGGAGGAAGGCGUUAAGGUUAAUAACCUUGGCGAUUGACGUUACCCGCAGAAGAAGCACCGGCUAACUCCGUGCCAGCAGCCACGGUAAUCCGGAGGGUGCAAGCGUUAAUCGGAAUUACUGGGUGUAAAGCGCACGCAGGCGGUCUGUCAAGUCGGAUGUGAAAUCCCCGGGCUCAACCUGGGAACUGCAUUCGAAACUGGCAGGCUAGAGUCGUGUAGAGGGGGGUAGAAUUCCAGGUGUAGCGGGGAAAUGCGUAGAGAUCUGGAGGAAUACCGGUGGCGAAGGCGGCCCCCUGGACAAAGACUGACGCUCAGGUGCGAAAGCGUGGGGAGCAAACAGG